CCUACGGGAGGCAGUAGUGGGGAAUAUUGGACAAUGGGGGCAACCCUGAUCCAGCCAUGCCGCGUGUGUGAAGAAGGCCCUCGGGUUGUAAAGCACUUUCAGUGAGGAAGAACGCCUGGUGGUUAAUACCCAUCAGGAAAGACAUCACUCACAGAAGAAGCACCGGCUAACUCCGUGCCAGCAGCCGCGGUAAUACGGAGGGUGCGAGCGUUAAUCGGAAUUACUGGGCGUAAAGCGCGCGUAGGUGGCUUGAUAAGCCGGUUGUGAAAGCCCCGGGCUCAACCUGGGAACGGCAUCCGGAACUGUCAAGCUAGAGUGCAGGAGAGGAAGGUAGAAUUCCCGGUGUAGCGGUGAAAUGCGUAGAGAUCGGGAGGAAUACCAGUGGCGAAGGCGGCCUUCUGGACUGACACUGACACUGAGGUGCGAAAGCGUGGGUAGCAAACAGGAUUAGAUACCCGUGUAGUC
rnacentral:rRNA from 1 species